AGUGAACGCUGGCGGUAGGCCUAACACAUGCAAGUCGAACGGCAGCACAGUAAGAGCUUGCUCUUACGGGUGGCGAGUGGCGGACGGGUGAGGAAUACAUCGGAAUCUACUUUUUCGUGGGGGAUAACGUAGGGAAACUUACGCUAAUACCGCAUACGACCUACGGGUGAAAGCAGGGGAUCUUCGGACCUUGCGCGAUUGAAUGAGCCGAUGUCGGAUUAGCUAGUUGGCGGGGUAAAGGCCCACCAAGGCGACGAUCCGUAGCUGGUCUGAGAGGAUGAUCAGCCACACUGGAACUGAGACACGGUCCAGACUCCUACGGGAGGCAGCAGUGGGGAAUAUUGGACAAUGGGCGCAAGCCUGAUCCAGCCAUACCGCGUGGGUGAAGAAGGCCUUCGGGUUGUAAAGCCCUUUUGUUGGGAAAGAAAAGCAGCGGGUUAAUACCCCGCUGUUCUGACGGUACCCAAAGAAUAAGCACCGGCUAACUUCGU
rnacentral:rRNA from 1 species